AACGAACGCUGGCGGCAUGCCUAACACAUGCAAGUCGAACGAGACCUUCGGGUCUAGUGGCGCACGGGUGCGUAACGCGUGGGAACCUGCCCGUAGGUUCGGAAUAACUCCCCGAAAGGGGUGCUAAUACCGGAUAAUGUCUUCGGACCAAAGAUUUAUCGCCUUUGGAUGGGCCCGCGUUGGAUUAGCUAGUUGGUAGGGUAAAAGCCUACCAAGGCGACGAUCCAUAGCUGGUCUGAGAGGAUGAUCAGCCACACUGGGACUGCGACACGGCCCAGACUCCUACGGGAGGCAGCAGUAGGGAAUAUUGUACGCUGGGCGCAAGUCUGAUCCCGCCAUGCCGCGUGAGUGAUGCAGGCCUUAGGGUUGUACAGCCCUUUUACCCGGGAUGAUAAUGACAGUACCGGGAGAAUAAGCACCGGCUAACUCCGUG
rnacentral:rRNA from 1 species